AACGAACGCUGGCGGCAGGCUUAACACAUGCAAGUCGGGCGCCCCGCAAGGGGAGCGGCAGACGGGUGAGUAACGCGUGGGAAUCUACCCAUCCCUACGGAAUAGCUCCGGGAAACUGGAAUUAAUACCGUAUACGCCCUACGGGGGAAAGAUUUAUCGCUGAAAGAUUGGCCCGCAUCUGAUUAGCUAGUUGGUGAGGUAAUGUCUCACCAAGGGUACGAUCAGUAGCUUAUCUGAGAGGAUGAUCAGCCACAUUGGGACUGAGACACGGCCCAAAAUACUACGGGAGGCAGCAGUGGGGAAUAUUGGACAAUGGGCGCAAGCAUGAUCCAGCCAUGACGCGUGAGUGAUGACGGCCUUCGGGUUGUAAAGCUCUUUUGUCCGGGAAGAUAAUGACUGUACCGGAAGAAUAAGCCCCGGCAAACUUCGUGCCAGCCGCCGCAGUAA
rnacentral:rRNA from 1 species